CAUCAAGUAUGUCUGUUAACCCAGCACUGCUAUGUCUCCUACUAAACUACGUCCUGAAGCACCGCAUCUGCACAUCUUCAAAAUACCUCCAGGGGUGGAGAGUUUGCAGUUCGCUUCACUGAAGUCUUACCGUGCACUUUUUCAUGUUUAUUUCCUCAGACAAUUAUCUACUUUUCCUUCCUGGUACACGAUUUAUUGCAGAAACACGAAAAUGCUGGCACGAGGGAUGUCAGGACGGCUCCAGUCCAUCACCCCACCCGCAGCAGGAUUAUCGGCACCAGCAGCCCAGAGCUCAGCCCAGCCAAGCCUCGGAAACCUCCAGGGUUUGAGGUCCCACAACCCGCCGAGACACCCGCUGCCGGCCGCGCGGCCCCGGCAGGACGAAGGGCGGCCGGCCCGCCCCCCGCCGGAGGCGGAGAGCCGUGCCGCCAUGGCGGGGCUGCCGUGGAGGCUCUGCAACCUUCUUAUGGCCGCCUUCUUCGGGCUGGCGGCCGUCGUGCAGGUGAACGAUCCCGACGCUGGGCUGUGGGUGGUGAGUACGGCCUGGAGCCCCGCGGGGCUGAACGUGGGGCCCUCGCUCUCGGCUAGCGGCAGAACGCGGAGCGCGCCGGUCCCGCCCGCCCCGUUUCGCCUGCGCUCGCCGGGGCUCACCGGCUCGGUUGGCUCCCGCCAGCGCGGGCCUCAGCGGGGAUCCCGAACUCUCAAGAAAGUUAAAGAAGACUCGCUCUCUUCUGUCUACUGCUGUCGUUCUCAGGAGCGGCCGCCAGUGGUCCUGGGGCGGCGUGAGCGGGGCUUGGAGCCGCAGCGGCCAGAGGUGUCCGUGGGUGGCGGGAGCCGCGGGUGGGUCCGUGCCCCUGCCGUGCCCCUGCGCUCCCCGCACAUCCCUUAAGCGGUGAGCCCAGCUGGCAGUGCCGAGGCCGGGAUGCAGGAACGGGGCUGCUGCUGUUCCCACCCGGCACGGUCGGGGAGUGGGGAGCAGUUCCUCGCAGGGCCUUUCCCGAGGGGAACCACAAUGCAACCUUGGAGCUGGAGCACGAGUUCUGGUGCUUGGCUGACCUCCUCCGGCUGUGUCACACAAGGAUUUUGGGUGGCAGGUUGUCUACUUGGUGCCGGCUGCCCUUACGCUGUUUGUUGUCCUUAACCCUUUGGUAACAGGUAUGAUAUCAGUGUGUAAAACAGAAUCUCUGCUCAGAUUUUGCCCCUGAAAAGUUUGUUUUCACUGAGUCACAGUUCAGGUUGUAUGGACAUGUGUCCUGCUACGUUUUGUGUGCAGAAAGCUGAGGGACCUGCUUCUGAUGAAGGUAGUAUUAGUAUUUGUGAUUGGAAAUGCUGCAAGCAAACACAGGAGCCCUACUUAAAGGGCUGCCACAGGGUUGGUCUUACCACUACACCUUUAUUUAAGCACUCAUGCAACAAAUGGAGCACAAUCCUGGGAGCAUGUUCUGAACCUGGCUCUGUUGUUGACCUUAGUACAUAGUUUAAUUCAUGCAGUCUCUCUGUUGUAAAGUUGGGUUUUUGCUUACCUGUGUCAUAUACAAGCUGUUAAGCUCUGUACAAUGCUUUGAGAGAGCUAAAGGUCUUUUUUAGUAUCAAGAACUACACCUGCUCCACACGGCACACAGGCAGUGGUGCUGAUGCUCGGAGAAGUCUGUGCAGUGACUGAGUUUCCAGUGUUGCACACUGAGGACUAACCUAUAUGAGGUGUUGAAAUAAUUGUUCAGAUCAGAUAUGGUCCAGGACUCCAGAAAAUAAGUUUUAAUUUUUAAAUGACUGUUACAGAAAAACGUAAGAAAACUCUCCAAACCAAAAGAUAGUUUAGAAAGCCAACACUUGUUUAUUGCAGUGCUGGGUGCAUGGGGAUCCUUCCAUAAAGCAUGCAUACCCCAGAGCUAGAUCACCCUCACUGUAUGCAAUAUUCAUGCACUGUAUGCAUGAAUAUUCAUACAAUUCCCAUGAAGUUCUUGCCUACUCUCAGGAUUGCCAUACAUGUUAAAUCCAACAUUGCACCUGCCCUGUUCAGUCAAGGGGUUCUUGCAAGGGAUCUCUUAGUUGGUUUCGUAGUUUACCUGUAGGUAGCACUGAUGUUGAAAUACACAGACUGCGCUUUGGAACUUCUUUCUCUCUUAGAUUGCCCCUUGUUGCCUUCCCACAGUGUUUGCACAAAGGGACCUGUUUUUUUGAAUUACAAACUGAAUUGUUUAAAUCUUUGGUAUCAUGACUAUUGUCAAUUAAAGUAACUGUAUCUUCUCUGAGUGAAUGUUUAAUCUGAUUUGAAACUACGCUUCUACCAGAAGAGAGAAUCUUCCGGAGUACAGUCAUUGUCACAAAUCACACCAUUACAAUUUUCUACCUUAAGCAUACAGUGUGGCACCAUUCAUAAAACCAGAACCUAUGAGAAUCGCUGCCUGCGUUUUCAGACGUUUCAGGGGAGGCUUGCAGUAGGUACAGCCUCAACAUAGUUGAGGCAUUCAACUGGUUAGGAGAAUCUGCAAGCUAAUUUACAGGUAUGUUACUUGCACCACAAUCUUUAGGAAAUCAAGAUUAAAACUGCACAACUGUUGUGUAAUUUGACAUUAUGUAAAUUCAACAAGUGGUCUUUGUCACUCAGGCCUAUGGAACCUCUAAUGCAGCCUCUGCAGAGCUGCAGUGAGUUUGGCCAAAUUAUUAGUUUAUAGUGUUAUUAUGAAGUUAGGUCACAACGAACUCUUGAAUUUUGGCAGCCCAUCAUUUUUCAUGCUUGCCUGGAGAAGUCAGUGCCUAGGAAAGACUGCUUUUGACUUCCCAGUGUUUGCUAUGGAUGUUGCUGAGAUCAUCUGGAGCUCAGCAUGUGCCAUUUCACCUCUCCUCCUCGAGGAAAUGGACAUGGAAAGCGAGAAGAAACUGUGGGUCCAUUCAGAUUUUUCAUGUCUCUGUUUCUCUCUCUAAAACAUUAGUCCCCAGCCCCGAGGCAGAGAUGUCAUGUUGCUCAUGGUCACUGGCAAAAGGUCAGAGGGGGGCUUGUCAGGGAGCAUGGAGGCAGAUGCUCCUUGUGCCAUGGCGUUAGCACUGCUGGUCAGAGCUGUGAGCGUGCACUCCAGAAGAGCUGUUUCUCCUAAUUAAGCAAACUCCCAUUUGUAAUCUGCCUUCUGAUUUUCUGUGCAUACUGAACGCUGGAACAUGUUUUGCUUGCUUAGGCUAACAGGAAACCGUUUUCUUUGCAGCACUGCUGCCAAGAAGUUGCAUUCCUGGGAAAGGAAGACCCCAGCUCGCUAGUGUACAAUUUCAGCAGCACUUUCUAGCAGCUUUCCAUAGUCAUACAUGGUAUUAAUUCUGUCUUCCUGCCUAGGGCAUAUGUGCUGCAGGCAUUUCUGUUAGCAGCUUAGUUACUCUUCAAUUCACAGAAUGUACUUCAUACUACAUUGCAGUUUCUGCCAGCUUAUUCUUUUCCUCAGAAAACUUUUUUUGGAGGAGCCUCUGUGACCUUCAUUCUGCUGGCUGUAUUAUUGGGGCCAUUUCCUUGGCUUACUCUUUGUUUGCAUAUACUCAAGGAAACAUCUUGCAUGAAGAGGAGGGCAGGUAAGUACUGAAUUCCCCUGAAAGACUUCGGUACACCAGGCUGUCUCCCAGUGGGUCACAUUGCUAAGCUCUGUUGGACUGCUGCAGUGGUGCUGUUGGUUCUGGUAAAUCAAACCAAGGAGGAAGGAAUACAGCAUUACAAACCAGCAAUUUGUUGGAUAAAAGGACUGAAAGGCAGCUGAAGGAUCAUGCCUGAAUCCUACCCAACUGAGGCAGCUAGAUUUAACUGGGGACAGUUCUGGCUUUCAGAGACCACAGCACAGUACUGUGAAAUAGCUGUGUGUUGUGCUACAGGAGCUGUACAAAUAGCAUUUAGUGGUAAAAACUCUUGAGGGGAUACCAUUUCUGUGCUUAACUGUCACAGGCUGCUGAGUCCUCUGAAUUGCUGGGUACCAAGGAGGAGGAAGGAUCUUUCACCUGGAUAUUCCCUUGAUUGCUUGGCUAAACUGGGUGCUUGCUCAGCAGAGGGGAAGCAGUAGCAGCUAGCACUUCUGUUUACAGUGAGGAGUAGUGCAGUGUUGCUUUGCUAUAUAUACUGAUGAGGGAAAUGUGCUAUAGAAGUUUAUUUUUAUAUUUAGUAUAUUUUUAUAUAGAAAAAAAGUUAUAUUUUCACUUAUUUUUUAUAGUUAAGUUUAUUUUUAUAUAUGUGGGUUUUUUUUUAAUAGAAGGGAUUUUUUAUAUUAAGUUUAGCAAUGGAACAAAAGCAGAAGCAGGAAUUUCUGCAGCUGUACAGCUGAGUUGUGUGUUUGUAGAUUUGAGGUGGGAAACAAUACUGUAAUUAUUUGAAGUGCAGUCCCUAUGACAUAUAUUUAACAUCUCCAAAGGGAGACAGCCCAUACUUACCCUAUUCUUUUGGAGGUAAUUUGCAUUUUUCAUAAGCAAGCAGAUGUUUCUGUUAUUUUCUGAUCUAGUUUUUGUUUGGCUUUCUAGAGAGUUGUUUGGUCUGGUGAUCAUUACAACAUGGAUGAGUCUUUGUCGCAGUUCAGCAAAGAAUCCGCUGGGUGGAAUUCAUCUGACUGCUGCGAUCUUGGUUGCUCUCUUCCCCUUCGUUUCA